rnacentral:lncRNA from 1 species
CUUACAUCGGAAUCUCAUUACUUGGGUGGGACUGCCAAGAUGAAUAGACAUAAUCCUCGAUCUAACCACUUCACAGUUUAUCAUCGGAGUCAAGUUUGCAGAUAAACAAUUGCCAUGCAACUUUCAAGACAGUUGUUCAUCUGCUUCCAGAAAAUGGUGCCUGAGAUGAGCAAGGUCAGCAGACAAGAAGUGAGGUCAAUGUCAGGUUUCCAUGCCAGCAGCGGGAACUCUGGAUACAGUGGAGAGUCACAGCUGGUCAAACCCUGAACCGCUUGCUCCUUGAAAUGGCCAGAGAGGCCCAUCCCAGAGCCAUCUCAUCAUCUCUCCUCAGACAGGAAACCGAGAAGGAAAACAAUCAGCUCUGUUCUCUCUGGGCCGAGGGAGUGAGCUGUAAUGAGGGAGCACAGGAACGCAUUGGGCGCCCUCAGACCUGAACACACAGGUUAGCACCACCUGCCUGGCUGACCUGGCUCACAGUUGAGAAUAACUCAUCCAGGGUUGUUGAAUGGUGGAGGAUCUUCCAAAAUCAGCAGCUAGGAGGUCGAGAACCCUUCAUGCCAUACUAAGAAGUUUCAUGCUAGGCAAAGAAGAGUGACAAGGUAUUUCAACAGGUGAAUGAUGUGAGUAAAUAUUUGCUUCAAAAAAGUGUAUUGUAAAAAACCAUGUGAGAAGAAAUGGGAACACUAGCAAUGACCUUUGAAGAAUUAUACCUUUGUAUCUGGG